rnacentral:sRNA from 1 species
UGCCUAAAAGCACCGUUAAUAGAUCGAUC